AUGAACGCUGGCGGCGUGCCUAAUACAUGCAAGUCGGGCGAACAGAUGAGGAGCUUGCUCCUCUGACGUUAGCGGCGGACGGGUGAGUAACACGUGGAUAACCUACCUAUAAGACUGGGAUAACUUCGGGAAACCGGAGCUAAUACCGGAUAAUAUAUUGAACCGCAUGGUUCAAUAGUGAAAGACGGUUUUGCUGUCACUUAUAGAUGGAUCCGCGCCGCAUUAGCUAGUUGGUAAGGUAACGGCUUACCAAGGCAACGAUGCGUAGCCGACCUGAGAGGGUGAUCGGCCACACUGGAACUGAGACACGGUCCAGACUCCUACGGGAGGCAGCAGUAGGGAAUCUUCCGCAAUGGGCGAAAGCCUGACGGAGCAACGCCGCGUGAGUGAUGAAGGUCUUCGGAUCGUAAAACUCUGUUAUUAGGGAAGAACAAAUGUGUAAGUAACUAUGCACGUCUUGACGGUACCUAAUCAGAAAGCCACGGCUAACUACGUG
rnacentral:rRNA from 1 species